rnacentral:rRNA from 1 species
UACAGAGGUCCCAAGCGUUGUUCGGAUUCACUGGGCGUAAAGGGUGCGUAGGUGGUGAGAUAAGUUUGAUGUGAAAUCUCCGGGCUCAACCCGGAAAUGGCAUUGAAUACUAUCUUGCUAGAGGAGUGGAGGGGGGACUGGAAUACUUGGUGUAGCAGUGAAAUGCGUAGAUAUCAAGUGGAACACCAGUGGCGAAGGCGAGUCCCUGGACACUUCCUGACACUGAGGCACGAAAGCUAGGGGAGCAAACAGG